CAGCUCGUUAAUUUUGGAAAUGAGUUGUGUGAAGCUUCAUAUGGUCAUAUUCAAAGAGUUACAUAAGAAUCCUCAUACCAAGGAUUUACAUGAUAAUUUUUAUUCCUGUGAAAUAAUCUAUCACUAGCCACAGAUUGGAAAGGAGUUGAAAACAGAAACAAGCAGCUUACAUCCAACAAUUCAGUUCAGAAAAAGGCCACUACUAAAGUGCCUCAGCAAUCUAAUUCACCUUAGUAGAGUAAUUCCUCAAAAACAGGAUCUACAGAUUGCCCCCACUUUCCAUUAUACAACUCCAAAAGCUUCUCAGCUGGCGUUACACCUGCCACGAGAACAUUACCAUCAUGACCACUAAACUCGUACACAAAAGAUAAAAAUGAAUAAUCAAGAAAGAGAAGCAAUCCGAAAUAUUACAGUUUUCACAAAACAUACUUUAUCAAGAGAUAUUGGAGGUAUAUAAGAAAACAGACUUUUCAAACUACACCAUUUCAAGCUAUGAUGAUGAUGGUGAUGAAUAAUCAUAACCUUUGCAAUAAAUAAGUUCAACAGACAACAAAUAUAUAUGGUUUUAAAUCAAAAUUAUAGUUUGCAUAAAGUACAUAAUUCUGCCCCUCUAUCAGGAGGGAUAUAAAGAUCUUUUCAAUAUUUGUUUUAACAAUAUCAAAACAAUUAGCACGGGCAACGGCAAGUCAAUUACUUGUUCAAGUCAGAAACUCGCUAUGGCUUGAACCAAACAUAUCCUAACCCCAAGGCAUUCAGACACUUAAAAAGCCCAAGUUGGUGGGACUUGAAAUAUUCAAGCGAUGCAUAAGCUCAAACCUCCGACUGCAGAUCAUUCAAGGUUGAAAUUGUAAACUAAUUGCCUUUAAAGUCCAUUUCUGCCAGCAUGAAUGCAAGAAGGAACUUGCUGAGAAGGUCAUUACACAAAUAACAAAAGAAACACCAAACCACAUACACAUCUGAAGCAUAAUGAGCAGGUAGAAUACCAAGUAGAUGUAUCUACUCAUUCAUGCUUCUUGUGACUGGAUAUCUGGCAUGGUGUUUUUCAAAUUGAAGAAAAGUUAUGUGACAACCUCUGUUAAAAUUUGGAAGCCUAAACCUUGUAGCCAAAUCAUAGAUGUUAACAUACAACGAGACAAAAUAGAAAUAAACAAAAGCACUGUGUAGAGUUGAUUACCUGUUCUAACCACUUCAGCCACCUCAUUCAAAAAACCAAUUUCCUUAAAGCCUCUCCUUUCUAAGCCAUCCUUAGCAAACUUUAGAACAUCUUCAGCAACAUGCUUCAGUAAUCCAUCCCGAAAUGGUGUCUUUAGACCAGUCUUUGGAACCUUAUUCCUCAGCAUUUGUGUUUCUUCAGGAGUCCAAUCAGCUACCAUAUCCAUAACAUUUUGAAGAGAGAUUUCAUCAUACAACAAUCCUACCCAAAAUGCUGGCAAUGCACACAAUCUCCUCCAAGGUCCUCCAUCAGCACCUCUCAUUUCCAAGUAUCGCUUCAAUCUGACCUCAGGAAAAAUUGUUGUUAAGUGAUUCUCCCAAUCAUUAAGGGUCGGCAAUUCACCAGGAAUGCAAGGAAGUUUUCCAGCCAUAAAGUCCCUGAAUGACAUUCCAGUGCAGUCAAUAUACUUCUUCUUCCGAUAAACAAAAUACAUUGGAACAUCAAGUGCAAAAUCAACAUACUGCUCAAACCCAAAUGAGUCAUCAAAAACAAAAGGCAGCAUGCCGGUGCGGUUGUUAUCAGUAUCAGUCCAAAUGUGGCUUCUCAUGCUGAGAUAACCAUUUGGCUUUCCUUCAGUGAAAGGUGAAUUUGCAAAUAGAGCUGUUGCUAUCGGCUGCAAAGCAAGCCCAGCGCGAAAUUUCCUUAUCAUGUCAGCUUCAGAACUGAAAUCCAGAUUAACCUGUACGGUGCAUGUCCUAAACAUCAUAUCAAGUCCUAAUGAGCCAACUUUAGGCAUGUAAUUCCUCAUGAUCUCAUAUCUUCCCUGAGAUAAAUACACAUCACCACUCAAGUAAUCAAAGUUUCCAAAAGCAACCAUAAUUUGAUGGAGAAAAAGGGUCAGAAAUACAGAGCAGAAAAUAUGAAAAGGAGUGCCAACACAUUAUAGGACAUGGUGGAAAGGCAACCUAUGUGACUAAUUCCAAUACUUAGAAUCAGAUCACUUGGUUUCUGGAGCUUUUUUCCACUUGCUGUAGAAUAUUGGAUCAUUCUACAAUUGUUGUUCUAGAAAGCUUAAACAAGAAAUAAUGGAGGGUGAUAUUGGCUGAAUAAAUAGAGUUUGCAAUGAAUUUGUGGUUGGCUAAAUAAAUAGAGCCCGUAAUGAAAAUUCAAUGUGCAAAAUCUAAAUUUACCAAUGGAAAAAUAGGCAAGAAUAUAAAAUGCUUGAUGUUUCUCCCGACCCUUCCCUCCUCCAACCCAAGAUAAAAAGCAGGGGAAAAGGGAAAAACAUCAUUUAAUAUUUUCUUAUGAACAUACCUUUCAUUUGCUUGAUGCCAAUUACCAACAUAUUUCUUGCAUGGUUUUACUUAAAGCCAUGUAUUGAGGAAUUAACAUUUUCCAUUCCAGGAUCUACUACUUAGGAAUCGAGGAAUCAAUGUAUUUUCCAUAACUUGCAUCUUUGAAAAGAGAAUAAAAUAAUACCUUGGGCAUAACGGGUAUGUCUUUAAGUCCCCAUUUGGGCUGGAAGCCAAUUCCUAAAAAUCCAAUUCCCAUUUCCUCUGCAACAGCUUUCACCUGAUAAAGGUGUGAAUUAACUUCGGCACAAGUUUGAUGCAAAGUUUCAAGUGGUGCACCACUAAGCUCAAACUGACCACCUGGCUCUAGUGAUAUGCUCUGCUUUCCCUGUUUGAGUCCUAUAAUAUUUUCACCUUCCAUUAUUUUCUCCCAAUCAAAUCUCUCAGCAAUACCAUUAAGCAAGUCUGCUAUUUGUUCAUAUUUCAUAGGGCGUAAAGUUUCAAGUUCAAAUCCAAACUUCUCGUGUUCUGUACCUAUUCUCCAUUUUUCCUUAGGCUUGCAUCCAGAGGCAAGAUAUCCUACAAGAUCCUCUUUGGUUAGCGGUUCUGCAGCAAUCACUGUAUCCUCUGUAGGAGGGCUUGCAGCAACAACCAUUUGAUCCCCUCUUCUCAUUUUUACCCACCCUCUUGGAACCCAAGACGUCUUGAUAAAGUUACAUGACAAUGACGCGAAUCUAACACAUGUUUCCUUCAGUUUAGAUGCCUCCAUGCUAAUAGUCACACCAAAAACCGCAUUUUGACCAGUUUUACAGCGUGUUAGCUCAGUGGGAACACAACAUGAUGGGCCUGCCUGAGAAACAAGCGCCAUGCCUAAGUGAAUUUUAAAGUAUGGAUAUGAAAAAGGCGAUGAGAUUAGGGUUACAAAGUUGGAAUCUAUGAGCUUUUUAGGCUUCGGGGUGAGACUCCUUAGCCUCUCAAUGGAGAGAUGUACAGAGAAGGGAAGCUUUCUUUUUGAGAAGACAGCCGUUCAAGGAGUAGAGGAAGAAAAGUUGAGCUUCUUUCCGCAAAAAGCAGGGUGAUGAGUAAUCAAGUGGCGUAAUGAAGCGGCA
rnacentral:misc_RNA from 1 species